rnacentral:rRNA from 1 species
AAUAUUGGACAAUGGGCGCAAGCCUGAUCCAGCCAUGCCGCGUGUGUGAAGAAGGCCUUCGGGUUGUAAAGCACUUUUGUCCGGAAAGAAAAGCAUCCGGUUAAUAACCGGGUGUUAUGACGGUACCGGAAGAAUAAGCACCGGCUAACUUCGUGCCAGCAGCCGCGGUAAUACGGGGGGGGCAAGCGUUGUUCGGAAUUACUGGGCGUAAAGGGCUCGUAGGCGGCCAACUAAGUCCGACGUGAAAUCCCCAGGCUUAACCUGGGAACUGCGUCGGAUACUGGAUGGCUUGAAUUCGGGAGAGGGAUGCAGAAUUCCAGGUGUAGCGGUGAAAUGCGUAGAUAUCGGGAGGAACACCUGUGGCGAAAGCGGCGCACUGGACCACAACUGACGCUGAGGCGCGAAAGCUAGGGGAGCAAAC